GUAAUAAAAAAUUGCAUAGAAUAAAUAAACGUUCGGAAUAUGACAUCAUCAUCACUAGAAAUAACAACUCAAUUUCAUAAUUUAAAAUAAAAAUAUAUAUAUUGGCUUUCAAAGAGCCUUACAAUUAUUCUUGUAAUAAAAUAACAUACAUAACUUUUCAAGAUCCAACAAAAUAAAUCAUGACCAUAUUAUUUAAGAUGACAUUAAUGUAUGACUCAAUAUCAGAGCCUUACAACCCAACGUAAAAAUAAAAUGUAAUCCAACAAACUUUAAAUAACACAGUAUCAUAAAUAUGAGAAUAAUUCUCCAUUUUAUUUAUUUUUUGAUAAAUUAAGAGCAUCUAGAUAUCAAGGAAAAUGGGGAUAGUGAUCGUCGUCACCCCAAGUUGCCCUGUAUAUAUAAUUCAUAAAAGAGAACCAUGUCAAAAAUUUGGGGUAAGAUAAAUUCCAAAUCACAUAAAGUAGUAUAAAAAUUGCAAAGGAUGAAACAAAAACAAAACAUACAUUCGAAUUAAACACCAAACUAUCUAAGGUGUAGAUAUAACUAUACAAUGUAUAUAUGUAUCUCAAAUGCAAUAUUCAUGCACCUCUACACCUUAUGCAUCAAAUACCGAUAACUAAGACAUAAGAAGUAUAAAUAAGUCUAUCAAAAGGAACCAGAGGAAAUAAUUGACAUAACGCAGCAGAAACAAUGCUUAGGAAGAUGAAAGUGAGGAAAUAAGAUUUUUUUUAAAAAAAUCCAUUAGAAAUAAUUUGCUUGAAUGCUUGUUUUAUUUGGCAGGGCAAAUUUAAUCUUAAUCAUUUAUUUUGAUCAAAUGGUUGCUAUUAUCUCCUCUCAUCUCAUCGUAACUCACUCCCAGGGGCUUCUCCGGAUUUUAGGAGGCCCUGUGCAAAAUAUAAAGGUGACCCCUUAAUAUAAUUUUUUAAAAAAAAAAUAAAAAAAUUGUCGAUUUAAAUUGCGUAUAAUAUAAAAAAAUUAUUUUUAUUCUUGUAAACAUAUAGAUUACCAAUAUUAAACCAAUUACAUCAAAUCAAAUGGGAUAAGAAAUACAAAAUAAUUAUCUUUAUAUAUAACGUCAAAAAAGAAUCUCAUAAUCUAAGUUUAAAUUUUAUGGAAAGAUUAAAAUGGACUAAAACUAUAUUUACGAGUAUAGCUAACUAAUCUAUUGAUACUCGUAUGAUAUUAUAUGAACAUUAACAAUAUAUAACUAUUAGUUUAGGGCCUAAAAAUUAAUCUAUUAAUAAAUAUCUAAUAUUUUAUAGGUAUAAAUAAUAUAUAACUAAUAUUAUAGGACCUCAAAAUUUUGAGCUGAGGCCCUCAAAAUUUUGAGGCCCGAUGCCGUCGAACAACUUGCACAUCUGUGCAAGCCGCCCCUGCUCACUCCUCACUUAAUAUGUCCCCUAAUAUAUANNNNNNNNNNNNNNNNNNNNNNNNNNNNNNNNNNNNNNNNNNNNNNNNNNNNNNNNNNNNNNNNNNNUAUAUAUAUAAAAUACGCUAUAAAAGUGUAAGAUUAUUAUUAUGAGCAACGAUGGUGUAUUAAAAAAGUUUGGCUUAUAGAUAAUAAUAUAGAUAAAUGUCUUACCUAAAGAAUCCACAUUCACCACCAUCGCACAUACAUGUUAAUCCAGGAGGAGUCAAAACUUUUACACAAUCACAAUCUUCGUCUGUUUUACACCUUACUGUAAUAUAAAAUACAAAUAUUACUAAAAUGGUACGAAGGAUUGCGUAUAAAAUAAAUAAAUAAAAACUGUGAGAAUGAACAACUUACCUUGACCAACGACUUCAACGGUAAAUAGAGAAACACAAAGUAUCAUAAUGUAAAUAAAUUUAAAAGUUUCGGCCAUUUUUUUCACCUUUGAAUGUAAAAAUAUAAACUGAUUUGAUCAAUUUAUAUGUUAAAAUCCAAUUGCUAUGUUUACAUCAAUUAACUAUUUUU
rnacentral:lncRNA from 1 species